rnacentral:ncRNA from 1 species
UGUUGAGUGGCAUGUCCUGGACCCGAAGCGGGGUGAUCUACCCAUGGCCAGUGUGAAGCAGCUGUAAGAGGUUGUGGAGGCGCGAACCCACUUAGGUUGAAAACUGAGGGGAUGAGCUGUGGGUAGGGGUGAAAGGCUAAUCAAACUCCGUGAUAGCUGGUUCUCCCCGAAAUGCAUUUAGGUGCAGCGUCGUGUGUUUCUUCCUGGAGGUAGAGCUACUGGUUGGUUUAGCGGGACUAUCAUCUUAGCGACAUCAGCCAAACUCCGAAUGCCGGUGAAGUCAGAGCGCGGCAGUGAGACUGCGGGGGAUAAGCUUCGUAGUCGAGAGGGAAACAGCCCAGAUCGCCGGCUAAGGCCCCGAAGAGUGUACUAAGUGGAAAAGGAUGUGGGAUCGCGAAGACAGCCAGGAGGUUGGCUUAGAAGCAGCCAUCCUUGAAAGAGUGCGUAAUAGCUCACUGGUCGAGUGGUUCUGCGCCGACAAUGUAGUGGGGCUCAAGUACACCGCCGAAGCCGCGGAACUCAACUGUUGUUGGGUUGGUAGGGGAGCGUCGUGUGGCCGGUGAAGGUGCGGGGUGACCCAGUGCUGGAGGCUAUGCGAGUGAGAAUGCAGGCAUGAGUAGCGAAUGAUGCGUGAGAAACGUAUCCGCCGGAUGACUAAGGGUUCCUGGGUCAAGCUAAUCUUCCCAGGGUGAGUCGGGACCUAAGGCGAGGCCGACAGGCGUAGUCGAUGGACAACGGGUUGAUAUUCCCGUACCCGUGUAUGUGCGCCCAAUGGUGAAUCAGUGAUACUAACCACCCAAAUCCAUGCGUGUAGCACUUUGUGUUGUGUGUGUGGGGCUGCGUGGGACCUGAUCUGGUAGUAGCCAAGCGAUGGGGUGACGCAGGAAGGUAGCCAAGCCACUUAUUGGAUUGUGGUGUAAGCGUGUGGCCCGCGCCCGG